rfam:Operophtera brumata OBRT01_Sc07224, whole genome shotgun sequence.
CACAAGGCCCUUUUAAGGGCCUCCGUACAACAACUACAAUUACCUAU